rnacentral:rRNA from 1 species
CUUUUCUUUGGGGAAGGAGUCGUAACAAGGUUUCCGNAGGUGAACCUGCGGAAGGAUCAUUG